AGUAGGUAGGGACUGUGACUUAUCACUAGGCCCAUAACCUAGGUAAUGUGACUCUCCUUUUCUUCCUGUGUCCUGUCCCAGUGAAGAUUAUGACAAAUUUCUGGGCCAAUCAGGUGGUUUGGUGACUCUCGAACUAUGACUCAGCAGACCUGUGAGGCUGUGAGUUCCCUAUCGGAAUACAAUCUGCAAGUUGUAUUGUGCCAUAUACCUGGGACCAAAUUACAAGCACAAUGAUGAAUCUUUUACCUGGAGUCAAGAUAUGUGCAGGAUGGUGAAACUUGUCACUGGACCUUUCCACAGUGUUAUUGUCACAUAUACCUUUGUCCAACAUGUGAGUGAUUUGACUCUGCAGACUGGGUCCAGUUCACAAAUAAAAUUGUGCCAUAUGCCUGGGCCAAGAGCCUAAUAGGUGUGACUCAUGUGCCUGGGCCCUGCUCUCAGAAAGAUAGUGACAUUACACUGCACCCAGCACCUAAGAGAUGUGAUUCUCUUCUUCUACAUGGGGCCGGCCCACAGCAAGACUUGUGACAUAUCA
rnacentral:antisense_RNA from 1 species